GAGGUGAUGCCGCGUUACAACGAGCCUGGGCCUCCGUUGUGUGCACGGCGUUAGGCUGGAAAUAUCCAAAUACUUUUCUAGGACGGUAUCUCUGAUGAAGCAGAUUUUACUCGCAAUUGCGAUGGCGGGCCUCCUGCAAGCAGGAGAGCGCCCAGAAAACAGAGUUACAUCUUUUAUUCCCUAUUCCCCGACGCUGAUCUCUUUCUCCCCUAGUUCCUCACUGGCUGAGUAGGUUCACAAUCUUCGCGACGCUUCGCUAAACAUGCAAACACUGGACAAACGUACAUUUUUGCUGCCUAAGCGUAAAUCAGUAGUUUAAUUAAUUAACUUAUUCCACGCUUGAUCAUUAUUUUGCAGAUAUCUGCUUGUCCUUCUUUCCACAAAGAUAAGCUCAGGAGAAAGGGGAAUGUCUUGGUGCCUGCCUUCACAUCCCAACCUUCUCACAGAGUGAGGCAGUCCGGCCUUGUGUAGAGGCCAUAGCUGCAUUGACGUUUGCUAAAUCUGUUUUUCUUUUGCUGGGAGUUUCUUAUCCUUACAAAACAACUCUACAAUACGUUUUCUAAUCCCUAACACUAUACUCGCAUUGUUUGGAACAUUUAACAACUAUUACAGUUUUGCAGGAAAGAAUUAAUCACAUAGUUCAGUAAUAACGUUUCUAAAACAUGCCGCUAACAUAUACAGUAUUUUUACUUCUUAAAGAUCAAGUAUUUCUAAGGAUGAGUUAUAGAAUACAAAUGCAUUACGUUCUACUUCUUCAAACCAAUUGCUCUUUUCAAUAUCAGAUGCAGAAACAACAUUCCACUCCCACACGGGGGAUCUGAAUGGUAGUGCUGGAAGUGAGCACCCUCUCAUUGCGCUUCCCAGGGUCAUGUGGAACAAGGUCGCCUUGUGCUCCGUUUGCAAGCACUCCCCUCACCCAGCGUCAUUACUGCUGCUGAGACUCCCACCGGUAACUCAUGCCUUCAAAAGGACGUGUUUGGGCCCCAGCAGCGACAGGCAGUGGGCACAGAGAGCACAGAACGGGCCACGCGGCGCGCUGCCCGGCUGCUUGGGAAGCAGCAAAGCCAAACGCAGGCGUUGUGCUCAGAUGUACCCACUGCUGGAUGGACGUGUCCUGCCUGUGCACCGACACGUGUUUGAGGAGAAUGUCAGGAACAGUGAGGCUGUUAUUAAAAGAUACUCAGAGUUGCUCCAGGUGGUCAGUAAAGGAGGGGGAGAGGAUGCCGUCUUGCGUCACACUCAGAGAAACAAGAAGCUGUUUGUUCGGGAGCGCCUGAAGCUGCUUCUGGAUGAGGAGUCUUUCCUCGAGCUGUCUCCCCUCGCAGGCCUCAGCAUGCCGUAUGGUGACGUCCCUGCUGCUGGAUGCCUCACUGGAAUUGGAAAGAUCUGUGGGAUUUGGUGUGUCUUCGUAGCAAAUGAUGCAACUGUAAAAGGAGGAACUAUUUAUCCAAUAGGAGUAAAGAAACAGCUGAGAGCUCAGGAAAUAGCCCUGCAGAACAGACUGGUGGCUGUGUACCUUGUUGACAGCGGGGGAGCAUUCCUGCCACUACAGUCAGAGCUGUUCCCUGACAAGCUGCAUGGUGGAAGAAUUUUUUACAAUGAAGCAAUAAUAUCUGCUAUGAAAAUCCCUCAGGUGGCAGUGGUGUGUGGCUCCUGUGUAGCAGGAGGUGCCUACGUCCCAACCAUGGCAGAAGAAGCUGUGAUUGUAGAUAAAAUUGGAACACUGUUCCUUGCUGGCCCACCUCUGGUGAGAGCUGCUACUGGAGAAUAUGUGUCUCCAGAGGAGCUAGGAGGAGCUACACUUCACUCUAGUGUCAGUGGCUGCAGUGACCAUUUUGCAUCUUCAGAAAAGGAAGCCUAUGAGUGUGUUCGAAAUAUUAUCUCAACGUUGAAUUAUGAGCCUGUGCCAGAAGAGCUCGUGGAGCAUGACCAUCCUCUCUAUAGCCCUGAUGAGCUCCUGGGGCUGGCACCACGAGAUUAUAGCUGUACUCUUCCUGUAAAAUUGGUUCUGAGCCGCCUGCUGGAUGGAAGCAGGUUCCAGGAGUUCAAGGCUGACUAUGGAACAACGUUAGUAACAGGAUUUGGCCACGUGGAAGGGCACUUGGUGGGAGUAGUGGCUAACAAUGGGGAGCUUUCUCAUGAUGCUGCUCUCAAGGGCAGCCAUUUCGUACAGCUGUGCAGUCACCGGGGCAUUCCCAUCCUCUUUUUCCAAAACACUGCUCCACAUGCAGCAGAGCCAACAAGCAUCUCUCAGGCAGAGGCUCAGGCCAACAGGUUGAAAGCCCAGGCCUCCAUGAUGGCUGCUGUCGCUUGUGCAGCUGUUCCCAAGAUAACCAUAGUGAUUGGUGGCUGUUUUGGGAGCGAAAGUUACGCUAUGUGUGGGAGAUCGUUCAGUCCAAACUUCCUGUUCUUAUGGCCUAAUGCAAGAGUUGCUCUUGUGGAUUCAAGACAUUUGUCCAUGGUCCCACAAGCUGGAGACAAUGAUUGUACAGAUGAAUCUGAGCUAAAACAUUUGAAACAAAAGCUAGAGGCAGAGAGCAGUGCGUUUUACUCUUCUGCCAGACUCUGGGAUGAUGGUGUAGUUCUCCCCCAGAAUACCAGAAAGGUAGUUGCACAGUGCUUGCAGAUUAUAGAGCAGCAGAAGUAUCAGGUGCUACCACCUCCUUGCCAGUAUCCCGUGAUGAGAAUGUAAAUGCAGCCCUUCUCAAGUAAUCACCCUUUGAAGAUGGCACUUUAUAUUGGAAAGCUUUAAUAAUAUGCAGAACUCAAACAGCACUUUGAGCAAAGAAAUGAGAAAGAGAAGACACACAUGGCUGAAGACUAGACAAGAGUAAUGCAUGUAAGAUUUAGCAAAGCACAGAAUGCUGCCUGCAAGGUCAAAUUGCCAGAGCACUGUGGAAGGGCUCCCCUCAGCUUGCUCUGAGGAUACCAGUGCAGUGACCAGGAGGAAGUUUCCAUGAACUUGAACAGCGGGCCAGGCUUCUGAAGUUUGGUCCUGGAAAAAUGAAGCUCCCAGAACACAUAUGGGAGUCACAGUUGCAGAGGCUGGUGGUGGAAAGGGCAUCAGAACAAACAUGCUUGCUUUGGAAAGCUGCUUUUUCAAAUAUAAGUUCUUAUCUUUGAUGAUGUUCUCUAACAGCUCUGCCACAGCAGCUUGAGAAGUAGAAACCUUUUGUUCUUCAAAC